AGUGGCGCAAGGGUGAGUAAUGCGAAGGUAACCAACCCUGAAGUUGGGCAUAGCCGCGGGAAACUGCGGGUAAUUCCCAGCGACGUUGCGAGAUGGCAUCAUUUUGCAACCAAAGGUGUGAUUCCGCUUUAGGACGGGCCUUCGUGGUAUUAGGUAGUUGGUGAGGUAACGGCUCACCAAGCCUACGAUGCCUACCGGGUGUGAGAGCAUGACCCGGCACACUGGAACUGAGACACUGUCCAGACACCUACGGGUGGCUGCAGUCGAGAAUCUUCGGCAAUGGGCGAAAGCCUGACCGAGCGACGCCGCGUGAGGGAUUGAAGGCCUUCGGGUUGUAAACCUCUUUCGUAGAGGAGGAAGGGGCUGUGAAGAACAGUCCUUGACCUAUUCUAGGAAGAAGCUUGGGCUAAGUUCGUGCCAGCAGCCGCGGUAAGACGAACCAAGCGAACGUUAUUCGGAAUUACUGGGCUUAAAGCGCGUGUAGGCGGACUACCACGUUGGUUGUUGAAAUCCCCCGGCUUAACCGGGGAACUGGCACCAAUACGAGUAGUCUGGAGGUGGGUAGGGGAGACUGGAACUUCCGGUGGAGCGGUGAAAUGCGUUGAGAUCGGAAGGAACGCCCGCGGCGAAAGCGAGUCUCUGGACCCAUACUGACGCUGAGACGUGAUAGCCAGGGG
rnacentral:rRNA from 1 species